CAUGCACCGAAGCUGCGGCAGCGACACUGUGUGUUGUUGGGUAGGGGAGCGUUCUGUAAGCCUGUGAAGGUGUGUCGUGAGGCAUGCUGGAGGUAUCAGAAGUGCGAAUGCUGACAUAAGUAACGAUAAAGCGGGUGAAAAGCCCGCUCGCCGGAAGACCAAGGGUUCCUGUCCAACGUUAAUCGGGGCAGGGUGAGUCGACCCCUAAGGCGAGGCCGAAAGGCGUAGUCGAUGGGAAACGGGUUAAUAUUCCCGUACUUGGUGUUACUGCGAAGGGGGGACGGAGAAGGCUAUGUUGGCCGGGCGACGGUUGUCCCGGUUUAAGCGUGUAGGUGUGUGUUCCAGGUAAAUCCGGUUCACUUUAACACUGAGGCGUGACGACGAGGCACUACGGUGCUGAAGCAACAAAUGCCCUGCUUCCAGGAAAAGCCUCUAAGCAUCAGGUAACAUCAAAUCGUACCCCAAACCGACACAGGUGGUCAGGUAGAGAAUACCAAGGCGCUUGAGAGAACUCGGGUGAAGGAACUAGGCAAAAUGGUGCCGUAACUUCGGGAGAAGGCACGCUGACACGUAGGUGAAGUGAUUUACUCAUGGAGCUGAAGUCAGUCGAAGAUACCAGCUGGCUGCAACUGUUUAUUAAAAACACAGCACUGUGCAAACACGAAAGUGGACGUAUACGGUGUGACGCCUGCCCGGUGCCGGAAGGUUAAUUGAUGGGGUCAGCGCAAGCGAAGCUCCUGAUCGAAGCCCCGGUAAACGGCGGCCGUAACUAUAACGGUCCUAAGGUAGCGAAAUUCCUUGUCGGGUAAGUUCCGACCUGCACGAAUGGCGUAAUGAUGGCCAGGCUGUCUCCACCCGAGACUCAGUGAAAUUGAACUCGCUGUGAAGAUGCAGUGUACCCGCGGCAAGACGGAAAGACCCCGUGAACCUUUACUAUAGCUUGACACUGAACAUUGAGCCUUGAUGUGUAGGAUAGGUGGGAGGCUUUGAAGUGUGGACGCCAGUCUGCAUGGAGCCGACCUUGAAAUACCACCCUUUAAUGUUUGAUGUUCUAACGUGGACCCGUUACCCGGGUUGCGGACAGUGUCUGGUGGGUAGUUUGACUGGGGCGGUCUCCUCCUAAAGAGUAACGGAGGAGCACGAAGGUUGGCUAAUCCUGGUCGGACAUCAGGAGGUUAGUGCAAUGGCAUAAGCCAGCUUGACUGCGAGCGUGACGGCGCGAGCAGGUGCGAAAGCAGGUCAUAGUGAUCCGGUGGUUCUGAAUGGAAGGGCCAUCGCUCAACGGAUAAAAGGUACUCCGGGGAUAACAGGCUGAUACCGCCCAAGAGUUCAUAUCGACGGCGGUGUUUGGCACCUCGAUGUCGGCUCAUCACAUCCUGGGGCUGAAGUAGGUCCCAAGGGUAUGGCUGUUCGCCAUUUAAAGUGGUACGCGAGCUGGGUUUAGAACGUCGUGAGACAGUUCGGUCCCUAUCUGCCGUGGGCGCUGGAGAACUGAGGGGGGCUGCUCCUAGUACGAGAGGACCGGAGUGGACGCAUCACUGGUGUUCGGGUUGUCAUGCCAAUGGCACUGCCCGGUAGCUAAAUGCGGAAGAGAUAAGUGCUGAAAGCAUCUAAGCACGAAACUUGCCCCGA
rnacentral:rRNA from 2 species